rnacentral:rRNA from 1 species
UGGCGGUGCUUCAUACCACCCAGGGGAACCUGUCUCGUAAUCGACAGUCCACGAAAUACCUAACCUUCUUUUGUAAACAGUAUGUAUACCGUCGUCGUCAGGUAACUUUUAAAAGAAAAGAAGUUAGCAAUCUAAGUUUAACUUUAGACGUCAGAUCAAGGUGCAGCUUAUAAGAAGGCGAGGAUGGGUUACAAUUAAAAUUUAUAAAACGGAUGAAAAUAUGGAGUCCUAUUUUCUAAAGGAGGACUUGGAAGUAAGAAUUUAUAUAUAAAUUUUCUGAAUCUGGCUCUGAAGCGUGC